AUUGAACGCUGGCGGCAUGCUUUACACAUGCAAGUCGGACGGCAGCACAGAGAAGCUUGCUUCUUGGGUGGCGAGUGGCGAACGGGUGAGUAAUAUAUCGGAACGUACCGAGUAAUGGGGGAUAACUAAUCGAAAGAUUAGCUAAUACCGCAUAUUCUCUGAGGAGGAAAGCAGGGGACCUUCGGGCCUUGCGUUAUUCGAGCGGCCGAUAUCUGAUUAGCUAGUUGGUGGGGUAAAGGCCUACCAAGUCGACGAUCAGUAGCGGGUCUGAGAGGAUGAUCCGCCACACUGGGACUGAGACACGGCCCAGACUCCUGCGGGAGGCAGCAGUGGGGAAUUUUGGACAAUGGGCGCAAGCCUGAUCCAGCCAUGCCGCGUGUCUGAAGAAGGCCUUCGGGUUGUAAAGGACUUUUGUCAGGGAAGAAAAGGCUGUUGCUAAUACCGACAGCUGAUGACGGUACCUGAAGAAUAAGCACCGGCUAACUACGUG
rnacentral:rRNA from 1 species